UAGUUCUAAAACGUUAUUAACUCAAAAAAAUAUACUUUUGUGAAACCAUUUCCGCCGCCAACACAAACCCUAGUUCUAUCCUUCUCCACGCCGCGAUAACUCCAAAUCGGUCGUUCUCAGGUGGUGGAUGGCGGAAAGAAACCCACAUCUCUACAAAUCGCCGACGCCUCAACCUCCACGCCGGUCAGUGACGGCGAUGAAACCCUAAUUCCUUUACCUUCUACCCGUCUUCACCGUUGAAAACGGAGAAAUAGAGGAGUUUGGCGGUGCGUACAACUCCAUUAUCGAAAUCUGUGGCUUCUAAACAGUGAGGCAGAGGGGUUGAUUUCAUCGAAACCCUAUGAAAAUCGCUGACUUUGAAACAUACCAAAUCGGCAACAAAAUUCCUCUACCAAAUCAAAAUAAGGUACAGAUCUAAAAUAAUUCUAACACCUGCGUCAAAUACAGAAUCAGUCACCAACACCAAACCCUAACUCUUCCCACAUCGACGAACACAAACGGCGACACCAUGACCCCAUCACACUCCCACACGCCGACGACGAAAUCCGCGACGCGGUGUGUUAGGGACCUAAAUCCCUAACGAUCUGAUAAAAUCGGACAAUAACAAGAUAAAGAUAAAGAUAAAGAUAAUCCGACGCCCGUGAGGGUCGGCGGAGAUAAGGAUAUGUGUGGCUGUGCGCGGGUUCCAACCCGUCGGGCAACGGCUACAGAUCAGAUAUACGUUUCGGCUGUGCGCGAAGACCUUCCGUCGGGCAGCAGGUAGCGUAAGAACUAUGGAUUCAAAGCAUUUCGCCAGGCAUUUGGCCAAAAUAAUAUAUUCAUUGAUUCAUUGUUUGGAUGAUCUCCAUUAUGAAAAUAGUCCUACAUAUUUAUAAUAUGGGGAGAUACAAAAAGAUAUCCUAUCAUCUCCUAAAAUAAAUGCAUCAAAUCUAAUCUAAUCUUAACCAAUAUAUUAUAAAGAUACUAAGUAAUAAUAAUGAGAAAUAAAGAAUAUAGGUCUCGUAUCAACUCCCCCACGGUUGAAAUCCACCUUGUCCUCAAGGUGGAAACCACAACACCUUGAAGCAGCAAAGAGAGUUGAAAGCACACAUUUUGGUGAUGUAUCUCCUCCUGGAUUAAACACAUAAGUCUGCCCUUCUUUUUUCAAUAUUUUUUGGCUGAUUGCACUCUUCUUCGUAACCAAUUAUGUAGUCUUGACUCCAACGUCACCCUCAAAUAACCUUCUUUUUUCUUCCAUAUCCACUUCAAGGUCGUGCUUUUGUAUCCCAAAUGCAGGCUUGUGCUCCUCAACAAGGCAUUGAAUCUCCAUUUUCUCGUUUGUGAACUAGCUCGAAGAGCUUUAGCUUUAGUCUCUUUCUCGAUCAGCUUGGGAAAAUUUUUAUUGACCUCUUCUUCUCUUUUGGCAGUAGAGUCACUCACUUUCUCUUGUUGAUUCCACACACUAUUAAGUUCUGUCAACUUAUCCUCCCUCUUUUCUUCACCAUUAUGCAAAUGCGUUUCCCACUCCUCUUUCCUUGAGCUUGAUACACCAGCCAGUGGAUGAUGAGUAGAGGCCAAGAAUGGAGCUGACACGGGCAGCGAUUGCAACGGCUGACAAGCUCUCGGUGCAGCGUAGAG